CAAGGAGCGGACUGAUUGACAGGAUUAACCUGCUAAGCCCUGCUUGUACUGCCCACACUUGAUGUAUUUUGUGACUGCACAGCUGCCGGACAAGACACACAGGCUGCCAGGAUGACCAUUCACCCAAUUAGGGUAGCAUGAAAGGGAAGUUGUCAAGGACUUGCACCAAGGAACUGGAUGAUGAUUGCCUCAAGUACCUAUUCCAAUUAGCAAACCAGCCUACAAGUUGUUGAAUACCCAUCUGGCUGUAUCUUAGCAGGGCCAUGUAAAAUUGGUGGGAAAUCUUGUGCCAUUCUACAGAAAUUUAUCUCAGCCCUCCAUUGCAAAAGGCUCCGUGUAUGUUGGAGUUUACAUUAUACUAUAAAACCCAUUGUACUACCACUUACAUAAUCAACAAUGACAUCUCUUCAGUCAGACAAGUGCCAAAACAUCACCUUGACUUAUGCUGCAAGAUUGAUCAUAGAGAAAAAUAUUUACGAAUGGAGGAGAUAGCCCAAAGCUUCAAUGUAUGGUGACCUUAAGGUCUUUAUGGAGAUGAGGAAGUCCAAGAGCACAUAAAUCAGAAGAGAUUUAGUAAAACACAUAAAAUAAAAG